UGAGCAACCUGCCUUUCANAGGGGGAUAACAGUUGGAAACGACUGCUAAUACCGCAUAACGCUGCGAUGGGGCAUCCCGAUGCAGCCAAAGGAGCAAUCCGCUGGAAGAUGGGCUCGCGGCCGAUUAGCUAGUUGGUGGGGCAACGGCCCACCAAGGCGACGAUCGGUAGCCGGACUGAGAGGUUGAUCGGCCACAUUGGGACUGAGAUACGGCCCAGACUCCUACGGGAGGCAGCAG
rnacentral:rRNA from 1 species